rnacentral:rRNA from 1 species
UGCGUAGGCGGCCAAUUAAGUCAAAUGUGAAAUCCCCGAGCUUAACUUGGGAAUUGCAUUCGAUACUGGUUGACUAGAAUGUGGUAGAGGGUAGCGGAAUUUCUGGUGUAGCGGUGAAAUGCGUAGAUAUCAGAAGGAACAUCAAUGGCGAAGGCAGCUACCUGGGCCAACAUUGACGCUGAGGCGCGAAAGCGUGGGGAGCAAACAGGAUUAGAUACCCUUGUA